GACUGCAAGAACAUUGCCAACAUAAUGAAGGAACUAGCAAGAAGAGGAUUCACUUUCAAACAAACUGGAUCAAACCUCUGAAUGUGCUGCAGAAGAAAAGAACAUGUCUUACUGCUUUGAAAAAACAUAAAGGAUAUAUGAUCAUUUGUAUUGAAUCAAAUGGCUGGACACCACAGUGAAGCAGCUGUAGAAGACAAACAAGAUCUAUCAAAAAUGGGCUGGAAUAUUCUUCUGUAAAUGCAACUUUUUUUGACCUUAUGUAUCAGAACAGAAUUAAAGUAGGUGAUGCACAGUA